CUAACACAUGCAAGUCGAGCGGUAGCACAGAGAGCUUGCUCUCGGGUGACGAGCGGCGGACGGGUGAGUAAUGUCUGGGAAACUGCCUGAUGGAGGGGGAUAACUACUGGAAACGGUAGCUAAUACCGCAUAACGUCGCAAGACCAAAGUGGGGGACCUUCGGGCCUCAUGCCAUCAGAUGUGCCCAGAUGGGAUUAGCUAGUAGGUGGGGUAACGGCUCACCUAGGCGACGAUCCCUAGCUGGUCUGAGAGGAUGACCAGCCACACUGGAACUGAGACACGGUCCAGACUCCUACGGGAGGCAGCAGUGGGGAAUAUUGCACAAUGGGCGCAAGCCUGAUGCAGCCAUGCCGCGUGUGUGAAGAAGGCCUUCGGGUUGUAAAGCACUUUCAGCGGGGAGGAAGGCGAUAAGGUUAAUAACCUUGUCGAUUGACGUUACCCGCAGAAGAAGCACCGGCUAACUCCGUGCCAGCAGCCGCGGUAAUACGGAGGGUGCAAGCGUUAAUCGGAAUUACUGGGCGUAAAGCGCACGCAGGCGGUCUGUCAAGUCGGAUGUGAAAUCCCCGGGCUCAACCUGGGAACUGCAUUCGAAACUGGCAGGCUAGAGUCUUGUAGAGGGGGGUAGAAUUCCAGGUGUAGCGGUGAAAUGCGUAGAGAUCUGGAGGAAUACCGGUGGCGAAGGCGGCCCCCUGGACAAAGACUGACGCUCAGGUGCGAAAGCGUGGGGAGCAAACAGGAUUAGAUACCCUGGUAGUCCACGCCGUAAACGAUGUCGAUUUGGAGGUUGUGCCCUUGAGGCGUGGCUUCCGGAGCUAACGCGUUAAAUCGACCGCCUGGGGAGUACGGCCGCAAGGUUAAAACUCAAAUGAAUUGACGGGGGCCCGCACAAGCGGUGGAGCAUGUGGUUUAAUUCGAUGCAACGCGAAGAACCUUACCUGGUCUUGACAUCCACAGAACUUAGCAGAGAUGCUUUGGUGCCUUCGGGAACUGUGAGACAGGUGCUGCAUGGCUGUCGUCAGCUCGUGUUGUGAAAUGUUGGGUUAAGUCCCGCAACGAGCGCAACCCUUAUCCUUUGUUGCCAGCGGUUCGGCCGGGAACUCAAAGGAGACUGCCAGUGAUAAACUGGAGGAAGGUGGGGAUGACGUCAAGUCAUCAUGGCCCUUACGACCAGGGCUACACACGUGCUACAAUGGCAUAUACAAAGAGAAGCGACCUCGCGAGAGCAAGCGGACCUCAUAAAGUAUGUCGUAGUCCGGAUUGGAGUCUGCAACUCGACUCCAUGAAGUCGGAAUCGCUAGUAAUCGUAGAUCAGAAUGCUACGGUGAAUACGUUCCCGGGCCUUGUACACACCGCCCGUCACACCAUGGGAGUGGGUUGCAAAAGAAGUAGGUAGCUUAACCUUCGGGAGGGCGCUUACCACUUUGA
rnacentral:rRNA from 1 species